CUAAUAUUUUUUUAAUAGCAUGUACGUUGGCCAAUGGCAUUCAGACAUCGAGCUCUUUUUCAUGGUUGAAAGGUAAAAGGUUGUAACCCACAAAUCACCUUUUUUUUUCAAGAAGUAGAACAAACGUCCCAGUUAAGUAAUUUAAUGAGGAAUUAACCUACAUAUGUAUUUUUUUUUCAUUAAUUUGUAGAUCAAUAAUUGAUCUAUAAAUUAAUGAAAAAAUUAUUAGGUUAAUUCCUCAGCAAAUUACUUAAAUGGAACGUUUUUUCAACUUCCUGAAAAAAAAAAUAAAAAUGUAUACCAUUUUUAUUAUUCAGUUGCAAUGCGAAGGCAAAACAAUCUUACUUUUCAAUUAGAUACGGAGUGCAAUCCAGCUCUCUGAAUCGCGAUUUUCGAUUCUUAUUGGAAUCUCAUCGGAGAGAGCGCAGGCUUGUUCUCCAUAUCCUAACUGACUAGCACCGAGAGCUUUUCCCACACAUUGCAACUGAAACAAAUAGGGUAGGUGACUAGCGUCAUCUGGCAAUUGAAAGAUGAAAAAAGCUGAUUUGUUGGUUACAACCAUUUACCUUUCAACCGUCGUUAUUAAUUACUAGGUAUACGUUCCGUAUAACACAUGUGUUACCUUUCCACAAUUAAAAAUCCUAUCUGUCUGUAAUCAGUACAUUGCCAAAUCUUUAUAUAGUAAACUUUUCCAAAAUUAUUCAAUACUAAACCUUUCCUGACACUAGGACAAAAGUAUUAUCUUUGACUACUUCCUAAAAGCACAAUAUACAUAUGAGUAUUUUAAUCAUUCCAGUUAAGUAAGAUAUAUUGAAAAAGACAAUUAGAAAGUGACUAAUAUGCACCACCCAGCUUGUAAAAUCACGUCCAAUAUUUUUUGAUAAUUAUGUGGGGGGACAAUCUAUAGGCCUAUUUUCAAUUUUUAUACUGUACUGAGCUUUGAUUAGAAAAUAAAAAAAUUGAAAUAUU
rnacentral:lncRNA from 1 species